CCAUUGGAAACGAUGGCUAAUACCGCAUGAUGCCUACGGGCCAAAGAGGGGGACCUUCGGGCCUCUCGCGUCAGGAUAUGCCUAGGUGGGAUUAGCUAGUUGGUGAGGUAAGGGCUCACCAAGGCGACGAUCCCUAGCUGGUCUGAGAGGAUGAUCAGCCACACUGGAACUGAGACACGGUCCAGACUCCUACGGGAGGCAGCAGUGGGGAAUAUUGCACAAUGGGCGCAAGCCUGAUGCAGCCAUGCCGCGUGU
rnacentral:rRNA from 1 species